rnacentral:rRNA from 1 species
GAUGAACGCUGGCGGCGUGCCUAAUACAUGCAAGUCGAGCGAACAGACGAGGAGCUUGCUCCUCUGACGUUAGCGGCGGACGGGUGAGUAACACGUGGAUAACCUACCUAUAAGACUGGGAUAACUUCGGGAAACCGGAGCUAAUACCGGAUAACAUGUUGAACCGCAUGGUUCAACAGUGAAAGACGGUCUUGCUGUCACUUAUAGAUGGAUUCGCGCCGCAUUAGCUAGUUGGUAAGGUAACGGCUUACCAAGGCAACGAUGCGUAGCCGACCUGAGAGGGUGAUCGGCCACACUGGAACUGAGACACGGUCCAGACUCCUACGGGAGGCAGCAGUAGGGAAUCUUCCGCAAUGGGCGAAAGCCUGACGGAGCAACGCCGCGUGAGUGAAGAAGGUCUUCGGAUCGUAAAACUCUGUUAUUAGGGAAGAACAAAUGUGUAAGUAACUAUGCACGUCUUGACGGUACCUAAUCAGAAAGCCACGGCUAACUACGUG